rnacentral:rRNA from 1 species
GAGUUUGAUCAUGGCUCAGAAUGAACGUUGGCGGCGUGCCGAACACAGCAAGUCGAGCGAGAAAGCUCUUUCGGGAGUGAGUACAGCGGCGAACGGUUGAGUAACACGUGAGAAUCUGCCCUUCAGUGAAGAAUACCUUUGAGAAAUCGAAGUUAAUGCUGCAUAAUCCCCCUUGGGGGCAAAGGUGGCCUCUUUGCUACCGCUGAAGGAUGAGCUUGCGGCCUAUCAGCUUGUUGGUGAGGUAAAAGCUUACCAAGGCUAUGACGGGUAGCCGGCCUGAGAGGGUGGUCGGCCAGACUGGAACUUAGACACGGUCCAGACUCCUACGGGAGGCAGCAGUGGGGAAUCUUGCGCAAUGGGCGAAAGCCUGACGCAGCGACGCCGCGUGGAGGAUGAAGGUCUUCGGAUUGUAAACUUCUGUUAAGUGGGAAGAAAUAGUCAUGUCUAAUAAACAUGAAAGAUGACGGUACCAACCAAGGAAGCCCCGGCUAACUCCGUGCCAGCAGCCGCGGUAAUAC